UGGCUUUUCUUUGGCUGUUUAAUGUUGGAGAGAAACAUCUUAAGGCAUAUACUAUUUUUGUUAUCUUAAAGGUCCUCUUUGAAUUCCAGCACGAUGCAUCAAACCAUACCAUGGCAUGGCUAGGACCCAACCCAGUACCAGAAAUGAAGAAAAGGACCCUACAGGACCCGCAUCCCCAUGCUGAAAAAGACAACUCAAGAGGCUGAACAAAUCCUGCUCCAGACACACACAUCAUUCACUCCAGGAUUCAAAGCUGGAAUACGAGCAGUGACCAGCAUGCCUGACAGGCCUGUUGCUACACACAUCUGUACUCUUCAAUCAACAAAGCCUGAUGCAAAAUAACAGAAAAGGGGGAGAUACAAGAGUUCAGUCAGGGUGGUGGGAAAAAUUGUAAAAUAAACACAAACCUUAUUAGAAGGUCAGUAGGUUUUGUAAAAGCCUUAGGAUAGCCGGGCGCGGUGGCUCACGCCUGUAAUCCCAGCACUUUGGGAGGCCGAGACGGGCGGAU
rnacentral:lncRNA from 10 species